GGAGAUAUAGCUCAGUGGUAGAGCACUUGCCUAGUACGUUUAAGAAGCUAAAUUCAAUUUCUAGAUCUCCC
rnacentral:tRNA from 1 species